rnacentral:rRNA from 1 species
AGUGAACGCUGGCGGUAGGCCUAACACAUGCAAGUCGAACGGCAGCACAGUAAGAGCUUGCUCUUACGGGUGGCGAGUGGCGGACGGGUGAGGAAUACAUCGGAAUCUACUUUUUCGUGGGGGAUAACGUAGGGAAACUUACGCUAAUACCGCAUACGACCUACGGGUGAAAGCAGGGGAUCUUCGGACCUUGCGCGAUUGAAUGAGUCGAUGUCGGAUUAGCUAGUUGGCGGGGUAAAGGCCCACCAAGGCGACGAUCCGUAGCUGGUCUGAGAGGAUGAUCAGCCACACUGGAACUGAGACACGGUCCAGACGCCUACGGGAGGCAGCAGUGGGGAAUAUUGGACAAUGGGCGCAAGCCUGAUCCAGCCAUACCGCGUGGGUGAAGAAGGCCUUCGGGUUGUAAAGCCCUUUUGUUGGGAAAGAAAAGCAGCAGGUUAAUACCCAGCUGUUCUGACGGUACCCAAAGAAUAAGCACCGGCUAACUUCGUG